GCCCUUUAGGAAAUAAAAGGUGAUACCUGCUCACUGAUCAAUAAUCUAAAGUAUAACAUACAUUAAAUUUGAUUUAAGAGACGCGGUACUCUGACCGUGAUAAUGUAGCAUAAUCAUUCGCCAAUUAAUUGUUGGAUAGUAUGAAAGGUGAAACAAGUAUAACCUUGUCUCCAAUAAAGUAUUUAUGAAAUUGAAAUCGUAGUUAAGAUGCUACGUAGAAUUACAAGACGAAAAGACCCUAUAGAGCUUAACUAUAAACAUCGACCCAAAUUAAUUCCUUCUGAAUUUAAUUACGAUGUUUGGUAGUUUAGUUGGGGCGACUAUCUUCUAAAAUUAACGAAGAGAAGCAAAGUAAAUAAUAUUACUUACUAUAUAAGAUAUAUCUUUAAUAGUAACAAAAGUAGGCUAUAAUGACCCGUUCUUUAAAAGAGAGUUUAGGAACGAUCAAUAAAUAAAAGCUACCUUAGGGAUAACAGGAUAAUUUCAUUUUAGAGUCCAUAUCCGAGAUGAAGUUUGUCACCUCUAUGUUGAAUUAAGAUAUCCUGGUAAUGUAGAAGUUACCGAAGGUAGGUCUGUUCGACCAUUAAAAUCUU
rnacentral:rRNA from 1 species